UGCAAGGUGGGAUCCUUGAGUGAGCGAUUGGGGACCGUGAUCAGACCUCUUCUCCCUCCUACAUUCCCGUAACCUCCAUCGAUCCGGAAGGUUAAGGGGAUGAGUGAGUUGAGAUCCAUCUGUAGUUCCCGGGCUGCAAGCUCGUCCUUUACCCCUGCUGAUAAUCCGUGCAGGAACGUGUCGAACAGCGCUUCUGGGUUCCAGGUACCCUCCGCUGCCAGCUCCACCGCAUAGUCUGCCACAUUGAGGAAGCCCUGCCGAAGCUGGAGUAACUUCUGGGCAGCCUCUCUCCCGGACCCCAGAGCCUCAAACUUCUCACCUCCGCCACAAAUACCUCCAGACUGAUGCAGACGGCGGAUUGUUGCUCCCACACCAGCCCUCACCCUCCGAUCCAACAGGUCCCAGACGUGCUCAAUGGGAUUGAGAUCCCGGGUCUUCGCUGGCCAUGGUAGAACACUGACAUUCCUGUCUUGCAGGAAAUCACGCACAGAAUGAGCAGUAUGGCUGGUGGCAUUGUCAUGCUGGAGGGUCAUGUCAGGAUGAGCCUGCAGGAAGGGCACCACAUGAGAUAGGAGGAUGUAUUCCCUGUAACGCACAGCGUUGAGAUUGCCUACAAUGACAACAUGCUCAGUCCGAUGAUGCUGUGACACACUGCCCCAGACCAUGACGGACCCUCCACCUCCAAAUCGAUCCCGUUCCAGAGUACAGGCCUCGGACCAUCACCCUUGGUGAGACAAAACCGUGACUUGUCAGUGAAGAGCACUUUUUGCUAGUCCUGUCUGGUCCAGCGACGGUGGGUUUGUGCCCAUAGGCAACAUUGUUGCCGGUGAUGUCUGGUGAGGACCUGCCUUACAACAGGCCAUCAAGCCCUCAGUCCAGCCUCUCUCAGCCUAUUGUGGACAGUCUGAGCACUGAUGGAGGGAUUGUGCAUUCCUGGUAUUACUCGGGCAGUUGUUGUUGCCAUCCUGUACCUGUCCCGCAGGUGUGAUGUUCGGAUGUACCGAUCCUGUGCAGGUGUUGUUACACGUGGUCUGCCACUGCAAGGAUGGUCACCUGUCCGUCCUGUCUCCCUGCAGCGCUGUCUUAGGCGUCUCACAGUACGGACAUUGCAAUUUAUUGCCCUGGCCACAUCUGCAGUCCUCAUGCCUCCUUGCAGCAUGCCUAAGGCACGUUCACACAGGGACCCUGGGCAUCUUUCUUUUGGUGUUUUUUAGAACAGGGUCCUGAAAAAGGGAUGUUUCUUUUUUUGCUGAGUCUAUAUGUGCUCUCUGAGUGGAUUGUCACAAUCGUCAAAAGGAGUAGACCAAGGUGCAGCGUGCAUGACGUCUGUAAUGCAACACACAGUCCUCAUCUAGAUCUGUUCCUGUUGAACAAUUAGACACUGCAGCCCUAUCAUUACAGGGAGUGGUUCUGGUCUGUUUUUUCGGCCCUGCAGCACUCUACGUCUGGGCCGUGGGAAUCCUGGAAGCAGGUCAGAGUUCAACCAUGACCGGGACCUACUCAGGACAGUUUGUCAGGAAGAGCUUUCUGAACCUACACUUGUCCUGUUUCUCUCGGGUGUUGCUGACCCGCUCCAUCGCCAUCACACCCACCCUUCUGGUAGCCAUCUUCAAGGACGACACCCAUGAACGACUUCCUCAACGUGUUGCAGAG
rnacentral:lncRNA from 1 species